rnacentral:rRNA from 1 species
GACGAGUCGAGUUGUUUGGGAAUGCAGCUCUAAGUGGGUGGUAAAUUCCAUCUAAAGCUAAAUAUUGGCGAGAGACCGAUAGCGAACAAGUACAGUGAUGGAAAGAUGAAAAGAACUUUGAAAAGAGAGUGAAAAAGUACGUGAAAUUGUUGAAAGGGAAGGGCAUUUGAUCAGACAUGGUGUUUUGCGGCCCUCGCUCCUUGUGGGUGGGGUCACCGCAGUUCACUGGGCCAGCAUCAGUUUUGGUGGCAGCAGAAACCCUUAGGAAUGUGACUUUCUCUUCGGAGGAAGUGUUAUAGCCUAAGGUUAUACUGCCAACCGGGACUGAGGACUGCGGCUUCGGCCAAGGAUGCUGGCAUAAUGGUUAAAUGCCGCCCGUCUUGAAACACGGACCAAGGAGUCUAACGUCUAUGCGAGUGUUUGGGUGUAAAACCCGUACGCGUAAUGAAAGUGAACGUAGGUGAGGGCCUCUUUAGAGGUGCAUCAUCGACCGAUCCUGAUGUCUUCGGAUGGAUUUGAGUAA